GCGGGGGUGCCCGAGCAAGGUCAAAGGGGGCGGUCCCUUACUCCGCUGGCGUAGGCCUGCGUGGGUUCAAGUCCCACCCCCCGCA
rnacentral:tRNA from 1 species